rnacentral:rRNA from 1 species
CUCCGUUGGUGAACCAGCGGAGGGAUCAUUACCGAGUUUACAACUCCCAAACCCCUGUGAACAUACCUUAUGUUGCCUCGGCGGAUCAGCCCGCGCCCCGUAAAAAGGGACGGCCCGCCGCAGGAACCUUAAACUCUGUUUUUAGUGGAACUUCUGAGUAUAAAAAACAAAUAAAUCAAAACUUUCAACAACGGAUCUCUUGGUUCUGGCAUCGAUGAAGAACGCAGCAAAAUGCGAUAAGUAAUGUGAAUUGCAGAAUUCAGUGAAUCAUCGAAUCUUUGAACGCACAUUGCGCCCGCCAGUAUUCUGGCGGGCAUGCCUGUUCGAGCGUCAUUUCAACCCUCAAGCCCAGCUUGGUGUUGGGAGCUGCAGUCCUGCUGCACUCCCCAAAUACAUUGGCGGUCACGUCGAGCUUCCAUAGCGUAGUAAUUUACAUAUCGUUACUGGUAAUCGUCGCGGCCACGCCGUUAAACCCCAACUUCUGAAUGUUGACCUCGGAUCAGGUAGGAAUACCCGCUGAACUUAAGCAUAUCAAUA